rnacentral:rRNA from 1 species
AGAGUUUUAUCCUGGCUCAGGACGAACACCGGCGGCGUGCCUAAUACAUGCAAGUCGAGCGAACUGAUUAAGAAGCUUGCUUCUUAAGACGUUAGCGGCGGACGGGUGAGUAACACGUGGGCAACCUGCCCUAUAGUUGGGGAUAACUCCGGGAAACCGGGGCUAAUACCGAAUGAUACAUUUUAACUCCUGUUAGAAUGUUGAAAGAUGGUUUACGCUAUCGCUAUAGGAUGGGCCCGCGGCGCAUUAGCUAGUUGGUGAGGUAACGGCUCACCAAGGCGACGAUGCGUAGCCGACCUGAGAGGGUGAUCGGCCACACUGGGACUGAGACACGGCCCAGACUCCUACGGGUGGCAGCAGUAGGGAAUCUUCCACAAUGGACGAAAGUCUGAUGGAGCAACGCCGCGUGGGUGAAGAAGGAUUUCGGUUCGUAAAACUCUGUUGCAAGGGAAGAACAAGUAGCGCAGUAACUGGCGCUACCUUGACGGUACCUUGUUAGAAAGCCACGGCUAACUACGUGCCAGCAGCCGCGGUAAUACGUAGGUGGCAAGCGUUGUCCGGAAUUAUUGGGCGUAAAGCGCGCGCAGGUGGUUUCUUAAGUCUGAUGUGAAAGCCCACGGCUCAACCGUGGAGGGUCAUUGGAAACUGGGAGACUUGAGUGCAGAAGAGGAUAGUGGAAUUCCAAGUGUAGCGGUGAAAUGCGUAGAGAUUUGGAGGAACACCAGUGGCGAAGGCGACUGUCUGGUCUGUAACUGACACUGAGGCGCGAAAGCGUGGGGAGCAAACAGAGAUUAGAUACCCUGGUAGUCCACGCCGUAAACG